UAGGGAAUCUUCCGCAAUGGACGAAAGUCUGACGGAGCAACGCCGCGUGAGUGAUGAAGGUCUUCGGAUCGUAAAACUCUGUUGUCAGGGAAGAACAAGUGCCGUUUGAAUAAGGCGGCACCUUGACGGUACCUGACCAGAAAGCCACGGCUAACUACGUGCCAGCAGCCGCGGUAAUACGUAGGUGGCAAGCGUUGUCCGGAAUUAUUGGGCGUAAAGCGCUCGCAGGCGGUUCCUUAAGUCUGAUGUGAAAUCUUGCAGCUUAACUGCAAGCGGUCAUUGGAAACUGGGGGACUUGAGUACAGAAGAGGAGAGCGGAAUUCCACGUGUAGCGGUGAAAUGCGUAGAGAUGUGGAGGAACACCAGUGGCGAAGGCGGCUCUCUGGUCUGUAACUGACGC
rnacentral:rRNA from 1 species